AACCCCUGUGAACAUACCUUACUGUUGCCUCGGCGGAUCAGCCCGCUCCCGGUAAAACGGGACGGCCCGCCAGAGGACCCCUAAACUCUGUUUCUAUAUGUAACUUCUGAGUAAAACCAUAAAUAAAUCAAAACUUUCAACAACGGAUCUCUUGGUUCUGGCAUCGAUGAAGAACGCAGCAAAAUGCGAUAAGUAAUGUGAAUUGCAGAAUUCAGUGAAUCAUCGAAUCUUUGAACGCACAUUGCGCCCGCCAGUAUUCUGGCGGGCAUGCCUGUUCGAGCGUCAUUUCAACCCUCAAGCCCUCGGGUUUGGUGUUGGGGAUCGGCGAGCCUUUCUGGCAAGCCGGCCCCGAAAUCUAGUGGCGGUCUCGCUGCAGCCUCCAUUGCGUAGUAGUAAAACCCUCGCAACUGGAACGCGGCGCGGCCAAGCCGUUAAACCCCCAACUUCUGAAUGUUGACCUCGGAUCAGGUAGGAAUACCCGCUGAACUUAA
rnacentral:rRNA from 1 species